UGCCUCUCAGGGUCACACCUGGAGAGUUCCCAGAACUCUACCAGUCUUGACCACAGGAGGAAGGGUCAGGCAGAGGCAUAUCCAUUCCAUUCCUAGCUUGGGUACUGGCCAGCGAGUGGAAGGCAACCUGCUACAAAU